rnacentral:lncRNA from 1 species
CCUCUCCCUGUCCUCUCGCAACUGUCAGGCGAAACGGGCCCGCGCAUAUUGGCUCGGCUACACGCCGAGGCUCCUCCCCGAGUCUGGAUCUUUAUAUUUUGGGAGAAUUUCUUUGAACUCAGUUAGCAAGCUCGGUGAAGGAGGCAAGUUCCCACAGCCGGCUCGGUAGACGGGGUCCGCGCGCCGACCCAGGCGAGGCAGCGCGAGGGCUCGCCCACCUUCCCCGCAGCGGCCGUGCGUCCCGAUCCUAUUCCUCUUUUCCCUGGUGGAGAACUGAGGACUUACUUGACUGAGGAAAAUGCCAAUGAUGUGGAUGUGACCAUGAAAAGAGAACGUGUGACUGGAGGAGGCAGAAGAGGAUGAGGAAAAGCGUUAUUUGAAGAGAAGAAUAAGCCAGCCACUCCAACGUUUUCUGCAAAUUGGUGCAAUUACUUCUGGGGUCCAUUUGCUUUUAUUCUUUCUAACCCACAAUUAAGAAAUCUUGAUUUGAGGGUCAAGAGACAACCUCUUACAAUUGGGGAACGCUUCUGGUUGGCAGAUCUUUUGGAUGUAACAUUAUUGGAACAUUUAGACUCUCCUCGGGAAAAGCCACCAUGAAUUCGGUAGCUGGGAAUAAAGAGAGGCUUGCGGUCUCCAACCGGGGCAAGAAAUACGGGGUAAGUUGUCACGGGUUCAACACCGAGACGCGUUACCAGACCCAUCUCGGCCGGGGUCCUUCUUUCUCGGGAACGGGUGGCUCCGGCAGAGCUACCCCCAGGAGCCGGUGGCCAGCGCGCGGAUCCGAGCUCUCCUCCCGCUGCAGGGACACCUCCGCUGUGCGUGCGCGGAGGCGGGUCUGUUGCGAGGACACCCGCACACUCGCCUCGCUCUCGGAUUUUUUUCAGUCGGUUUAAUCUUUUCUUUUCUCCGGAUCCAUAACUUUUGCGGUAUUCCUGGACUUCUAGGCAGAGUUAAGCCGUAAGGAAUGUUUCCCAUGAAAUCUCUGCCUUUGGUUGCACGGAUCGUUUCCCGGGAUCCGGGAGAUCCUUUCAUUUUACCGGCAGGAUCCGGUGGGCUGUUCCCUGAAUGAAUAAAAACCCAUAAGUCACAGGGCCCUCAGAAUAGGGUCUUCUAGGAUCUUGUAACUGGGUUCUUGCUGGGGUGGGUGCCAGGUCCAAAAGCACGGGGCGCUGAAUCAGUG